rnacentral:ribozyme from 1 species
ACCCCUGUAUGCUCUGCAAUGGGAUGGGAUCCGAACGCCCCUCUAAUAGGGGACUAGGCUUUCCCAUCCAACUCCUAUCCUGAAACGUCCUCGUUCGUGCAGAGUGGUAACAUGUAUCAUCUAAAAUCCGCAAUCAAUCGGUACACGGACAUAGUUCCGACCGAUCCGAUGUGGAUGAUGAUGAUGAUGAUGCAUGGCAAAUCAGGAAGGG